AGAAGAAGCGCACAAUCUGCCAAUCUAGUGAAGAUGACAACGAAUCUUUCCCAAAGUGGACAGAGACCAUAGGUUCUAGUGGUCUAGCUUCCUCACGUCCAUCGCAUGAAUCCGGCCACCGCCUCGCCCUGAGCCCCAGCCGUGCUGAGCGGCGGUGGAUCGAUGGGUGCCGUCACCCGCCAUCCCAUCUCCUUGUCCGCCUCCCCUGCUCUCAACACCAUACGCCACCACCCGCGAGUCUUCCCCUAUUCGUCUUCCUCUUCUUCUUGGCUCCAGGUCGCGGGGAAUCAGUGGAUUCUUCUCUCAUCGGGGCGUCGGGCUGUUCGAUUUCGUCCUCCUCAGGCGGCGAUUUCGGCCCGAAGAGAAGAGGUAUUCGACCCUGAGCUGAGGUCAGUGCUUGAACUGGCUACCGAUGAUGAACUGUAUGAGCUGGAAAACAUUCUCUUUGGGCCAAGCUACUUCAGUCCUUUGCUUAAAUCAAUAACAAACAGACGGGAUGCUGAUUGUGUUAUGGAUGGAGAGGCUAUUGAGGAACGAGAAGAUUUUAUAGCACAUUUGGAGUCAAGGUUCUUGUACCUUGCAGCAGAUGCCCGUUCAACUCUGCGGGGUUGGAGACCAUCUUACAGAAAUGUCUUACUUGGUCUGAGAAGAAAACUGGGUAUUCCAUGUUCGAAAAAAUUGUCAACGGAAGACCUUGAAGUUGAAAUUUUUCUUCACAUGUUGAAUGAAUAUUCAAGCAAUGAGAUGGGCCCCAUUUCUUUUCCAUGGGAUGGCACCAGGCUUUCAAAUGGUCAUGGAAGUCUUGAAGUUGGACUCAGCCAGUGGAAGGUGCACACCUUUUCUGCAUUGAGAUUUGGGGCAAAACAACUCCAGCAAGUAUUUCUGAAGGGUGGUGGCAUGUUAACUGCGACAAAGAUUUAUGAAAUGGCAGCACAGAGACUAUCUGGAAAGAUGCUUUUGGAGGCUGCAAACUAUGAGAUAAAGCAUGAGAUUAUAAAACAGGGUGGACAAUUGGCAGCUGUCAGCCUGGAGUCCAGAGCAGCUGCUCUUGCUGCAAGACAGGGCUUGGCUCGUGCUGCAACACGAUAUCUUGGGCUUAAGAGUUUUAUGAUGCUACUUGGGCCACUGAUGUGGGGGACAUUUCUGGCAGAUAUUGUAAUUCAAAUGCUGGGCACUGAUUAUGCUCGGAUUCUGCGUGCAAUAUAUGCAUUUGCUCAGAUCCGCCUUACGCGAACACAUGGCUGGACAUCCAAACAAUGAUUAAUGAGUUCAUUUUUCCAUUUUGCAUAUCAACUUCAUCUCAGCCUGGCUUAAGUUAGCACAUAUUGGAUUAAUGGAAGUUGCUACUAUGCUAUUCAUAUUAUGGUUAUAGCUUCUUUGAUGUGCAAGCCAAGGGUUACAUAUUAGCCAACUUCUUUCAAAAUCAUGUUGUGUCUGAAAUCAAAAACAUUCGACAUAUCCCUUAGACAUAUGCCUUAGUAGCAAGUAACAAGGCAACUUGGAAUAAUGUAGUUCGGCUGGGGGAGAGAUUGAACAUCUCCCUGCUUGGAAAAAUUUUUGACUGGUGGAAUAACAAGGAUAAUUCUCUGA